AAGGGCACCACAAGAACGCGUGGAGCAUGUGGCUUAAUUUGACUCAACGCGGGAAAUCUUACCGGGUCCGGACAUACUGAGGAUUGACAGGCGCUUGUAGUUCUCCUUCGGGAGAUCUGCAGUAAAUAUGCUAGUCCUUUCAUGAUUGUGUGAUAGGUGGUGCAUGGCCGUUCUUAGUUCGUGGAGUGAUCUGUCUGCUUAAUUGCGUUUCAAUAAGGACUUUUAAGUGUCGCCUGUUGCCAGCUUUGUUUUCGAACUUUGCUGUGCACGGUGACCAUGAAGUCUUGUUGGCAACGAACGUGACCGCAUCUCUGUGCUGCAUUCCAUAAAGNAUUUGCUAGUUUUCUAGNAUUUACUUUUAAUUGCAGCUAACUAGGGGGACCGCUGACAACUUUUUUAAACAGAGGAAGGUUGCGGCAAUAACAGGUCUGUGAUGCCCUUAGAUGUUCCGGGCUGCACACGUGCUACAAUGAUUAUUGCAGUGAGCAUCUAUUUUUAUUUAUUAAAGUUUGUGGAACUAUUGGUUUGGUUUGUUUCUUUUGUAGGUUGCUUUGUUACUUCGGUUUUAUCGCAACUGGCUUCUGAUCUUUCCAUAUUCGCCAAUUGUCUUUCCCAACAAACCUACUUCGAAAGUAAGUAGGUAAUCAAUUCGAAGUAAUGAUUUCCCAAUCGCACAUACAAAGUCUCCUGCUUAGGGACAUUUCUUUUGAUUUAUCAUUGGAUUUGUUUUUCCUUUGCUCGAUGACAUGUGCUCCAUUAAUUCAUGGUGGGGACAGACCAUUGAUAAUUGUUGGUCUCGGUCUCAACUAGGAAUGCCUUGUACGGGUCUUUGGUUCAACAAACCACCCGGAAUAUGUCCCUGCCCUUUGUACACACCGCCCGUCGCUCUUACCGAUGGACUAGGCUGUGAGUUUGAGGGACUGGCUCUUCUUUACGUUGAGCUAUGGAAACUUAUGCGAACAGUUUGGUCUAAAGGAAGGAGAAGUCGAACAAGGCA
rnacentral:rRNA from 1 species